CAAAUAUGGUAUUCAGUAGCUACUUUUAACGAUGACCGACAUCGUUAAAAUCAGACGUUUUCGCUAACAAAUAGAAUUCGUUAACUAAACGACGGACAAUUAUUUGGUGUUUACUUUAACGAAAUAAAUGAAAAUUAAUAUUAACGACGGCUUUAGAAGUCGAAGAACCGGCUAGUGGCUGCUGUCGAAGAACCUUUUGAGUUCCAUCCUUCCCCGCUGGCGCAAACCUUGAGCCUAGUCCAACCGUUUCGAUGCUUUCCCCUCCUGAUUCGAUCGUGGCAGGGGGAUUUUCAGUCUCUUUUAAUCCGCCAGACAUUAACGAUGUGGUCGAUAGCUCCUCAGGCAAGUGAUCAGCAACAACUGCUAAGUCGUCUCCUGAUUCCCCAACCCCACCGCUUCUAUAGACCUUCAGUUUCAACAUGUUGAAUCCGUAGGAUACAACUCCUUUAGACUUGUUGAGGUCUGCGAUACAGCCGUAGUUUAGUACGAAACUGCAUGUCUCCGGUCACUAUCAGCCUCAUCCAAUCUACCAAUCUUCCAGUCGGUGGUUGAAAGGUUAGGAGCACAUUCCCUUAGUCUUCCAAGUAUGGAUUCAACAUCUGAGCGAAUCCUUGGUGUCCAAGCGUGCGUCAUUUGUCGAGAAGGAAUACCUUCUUUCUUGACUAGAUCCAGUGCUGUGCCUGGUCAGAUCCCAUCUGAAUUUUCUCUUACGACGCAACGAUACAUUUCCAUUGACUAUCCCUCUCCAAUUAUGCGGCCCUGUUCUUCUCACUAGUCGACAACUGCCAUCACCAAACUGUCCUUGCGACAUUAGCAAAGUGCAGUUCCCGAAUCUAGAUGUGCAGUAUUUGGGGUAGCCUGUGCAGCGAACCCCUGAGGACAGUUCAGGGAUGCUCUCUCCCCGACAGUGAGAGUCUUAGGAUCAUUCGCACCAAGCCUCUCGAUAAACCUGAGAGCGAUGCGCAUUCUAUUAUUCCAACCUCUGAAAGAGCCUGUUUGUUUGCCGGGAAGGCCCUGCUGACCAGUCGUCUGUCGGCUGGUGGAGUCUGGAGCAGCCGCUUCACCAGUCGAGGUUUCAGUAGCGGACAAUAUGCUGUGGCCCGAUACCACCAUCGCAGCAGUUGGGUCUUUGUAGUCCACUCUAAGCCUACUCCCGGGUUCUAGGUCAGCCGCUCCACUGGAAACAGGUGCAGAUCAAACUCCUAUUCGAUGACACUGUCGUAGCUAUCCGUGAGUGACUUAAAAAUUUGUUUCCAAGAAUAAUGAGCUGUUACGAGUUAGAGAAAAAUUCCUGCGGAGCGAAAUAUCAAAACGUUCGCUCCACUCAACGGUUCAAACAAAAAUCGGACCACAGAGAUACUCUUUAUUUUAUUGGUAACCACACAACAACACCGGGGUGUUCUAAUUGACUGUGCGGGUUCGUUAUUUUACAUCAUUGAUAUGAGCAAUUAAGUAUUCUAGGUAUUUUUUAAAUUAAGGAUUAGUAAAGUUGUUUGUAAAUUA